AAAUCAGCCUUUACAUUACAAUACAAAAGCUAAUUGAUUACAAUAAAAUUAAAAGCUAACGUCAAAAUUGAUAAAAAGGUAGAGGUAUAUUCAAGGCAGCAGCUAAUGUUCAGGUACAGAAAACUCGACAAAUGAUGUUCUACAUUAGAAGAAACCAAGAAAAUAACAAUUAUCGGUUUCUUGAGUGUUUUAAUGGAAUCAUCCUCAUCGGAGAGCUACGAUGAAACCAACACCGUUCGUUUCUUUGAAUUUCUUAAGGA